AUAGCUGAUCCCAGCUAUGUACAGAGCCAUGAAUAUAUUACUGUUGCGGUUAUUAGUCUACUUAUUUGCUAUUUUUAUGGAAACUUGUUUCUGCCACUUAUAAAAUAAGUAAAUAAAAAGAUAAAUGCACCUUUAUCUCAUAAUUUUUAUUUUUUUUUGUAGUGUGAAUUAGUAUUUAGGUUCAGAGCGCACCUUUUCUUUACAAAUGCUAGUUCUCAUGACGUCACGCAAAGGCGCGUGCCUGGUAAAUUAAUCUUUUCAUCCGUCGUAAUAAUUUGUAAAAUUAAACAUAAUAUUUUAACAUUAAAAGAGUAUUAUACAUAUCCAGUUGAUGUUAAGGUCUGUAUGGUAAUUAAUAUGUUUUACAUUUUAUUAGCUUUCUAACUUACACUGCAUGUUAAUAUCCGUUUGUGCACCCGCUGGUUCGCCGUUGCUGGUUUGUGCAUUCGUGUUUGUUGAGCGCGUGUGUGAAAAACCUAACAAUUAACGAGCUGAUAAAAAAAUCUCAUACUCGUAUUAAAUAAGCCAAACCCUGGUGCUUAGAGCGAACUUUUGUUUUAUGAUGAUAUGAUGCGGGAGAGAUCUUCAGUUACCAGCUUUCCUGACUGUUGUUAUACGAUCAAGAAUCUUUAAGACGCGGAAAACACUUGUUUUGUCUCCACUCUUAAGGGACAGUGGACCUGCUUCGGGCCAAGUCGGCUGCCAGCCGUCCCAUCACAGCGGAAGCACAGAACCUGGAGGAGGAGACAGGAAACGUGGCCCAGACGCUGAUAAUCGGAGACGCAGCUGUCUCUCUUCAGCUGGAAUUACUUUGGCUUGAAAAGGAACUCAAGGACGUAUAGGGCUUUUCACUUGACAAGACAUUAAUUGAUUGACUGGAGUGUUGGUUGGACUCUCAUUCUGACGGCACCCAUUCACUGCAGAGGAUUCACUGGUGAGCAAGUGAUGCAAUGUUACAUUUCUCCAAAUCUGAUGAAGAAACAAACUCAUCUACAUCUUGGAUGACAUGUGGGUGAGUAAAUGUUCAACCAAUUUUCAUGGUAGUUAUUCUAGUAACAUUCGAGCAGAUGAAUUUGAUCAGAAAACACAUGCACUAACAAUCAGCUGAAAAGCCUGUCUGUAAAUUCAUCACAGACUCUGCCAAUUACACACAAUUGAACUAACACCAACAAAUCGUUCAUCAUCACGGCAGCCAUCUCACUUGAG
ensembl:lncRNA